AAAUACCAAAGGCAAAAUCAUUGAAAAAUGAUGACGCAAAGCUAAAGGGGCCUCUAUUCAGUCGAUAAGGCCAGCCAGCUGCCAUC
rfam:Bacillus infantis NRRL B-14911, complete genome.